GUUUAGGGGAUUUUGGGCUUGCUAAAACUCUAAAGGCAGAUGAUUUGGCUUCCUCGGUGGUUGGAACUCCCAAUUACAUGUGUCCUGAACUGCUUGCAGAUAUUCCUUAUGGUUUCAAGUCUGAUAUCUGGUCUCUGGGGUGCUGUAUGUAUGAGAUGACUGCUCGUCUCCC